UACGGAGGGUGCAAGCGUUAUCCGGAUUCACUGGGUUUAAAGGGAGCGCAGGCGGAUUGGUAAGUCAGUGGUGAAAGGCUUAAGCUUAACUUGGGAACUGCCAUUGAUACUAUCAGUCUUGAAUGUUGUUGAGGUUUGCGGAAUGGGUCAUGUAGCGGUGAAAUGCAUAGAUAUGACCCGGAACACCUAUUGCGAAGGCAGCAGGCUAAACAAAUAUUGACGCUGAGGCUCGAAAGCGUGGGGAU
rnacentral:rRNA from 1 species